UUAGACUCUGCCUAUUCAGUCUGGGAUUCCCCUUUUUACAUAAUCACAAUGGCACUAAUAAGAGUGAAAGGUCCAUCACUCAGAGCUGAUUCUGUCCUGGAUUUUGCUUAUGAAAAAUCUCAUAUUAGGAUGCAUUCUUGGGUCGUUUCCAGAUAGUUCCAAGCAAUUUAUAAGUAGGAAAAUGAGUUAAAAUCAUAUGAUUUAGUGAUCAUCUGAAUUACCUGGUUCCUUCUUUGUAAAGUUACUCUUCUUCAUCCCCAUUCUCCACUCCUUUCCCUUCAAAGCAACUAAUGUGUUUCUAAUUCUAAUUCUUUAAAAAAUAGUCAUAACACAAUGUGUAUUCUGAGUCGCUAACUGGGAUGGAUUCAACUCUACAUCUCAUUGUAUUUACCUCUUAACUCAGCAAGUCGGGGAGACCCACUGUCCCCACUGACUGUGGCACAGCACCCGUGGCGUGCACCUACCACUCUACAUGGCUUCUCCCAACCAAAGCUGCCCUCCACCUCACACUUCCAUGCAGGGUGCUGUGACGACCAUCACUGUCCACGGCCCCUGGCAGACCUGUCUGGGCGUUUCUCAGUACUUGACACCCAGGAGUGAAGAGUUGUAGGCCAUUUUUCUACCUACAAAGAAGCCCACGCUACUACCCAGAAUGACUGCCCUGGUCUGUAUUCCUCACCAGCAGGCCACCAGGGCCCCGCAGGCUGCAGCCCACCGCCACUCAACAUCAUCCACCUUUAACUGCUGCUCGUGUAAGAAGAGUAUCAAGUCCUAUAUUGUUAUCGUUUAUAAUUCUCUGAUGAGUUUUGAGCAUUUUUGUUUGUUUGUUUGUUUUAGCUUUUAAGGCUUGUCUAUAAACUUAUCUUUUGCCAAUUUUCUAAUUUGGGUUUUCUUCUUCUUACUAGUUUAUAGGAAGUCCUUGAAUAUAUAAUGUCAGUCUCUUGUUGAUUUAGCUACUACAGAUGUUUUUUUCAGUUUGCCAUCAGCCUCUUAAUUUUGUCUGCAGCAUUUUAUCAACCAGAAAUUCUUAACUUUAAUAUAAUCUAACUCAACUCUUUGCAUUAUAGUUUCUGUUUUUGAAGGCUUUUUUUUUUUUUUUUAAAGAAGUCCUGCCGAGGAAGGAGGCUCACUUGAAGCCAGGAGUUUGAGAUCAGCCUGGGCCACAAAAAUAAAAAAGUAAACAAACAAAAAAAUUAAGCCAGGAGUGGUGGCACACAACUGUAGUUCCAGCUACUUGGGAUACUGAGGUGGGAGGACUGCUGGAGCUCAGGAGUUGGAAGUUACAGUGAGCUAUGAUUGUGCCACUGCAUUCCAGCCUGGGCAACAGAGCGAGACCUCGUGUUAAAAAAAAAAAAAUCUAGAUUAGAUAUAGACUGACAGAUGAUAGAUUAGAUAGGCAGACAGACAGAUAGAUAGAUAGAUGACAGACAGAUGAGAUAGAUACAGAAGUCCCUUUCUGCACACAGGUUAAAAAGACAUUCUGUAUUUCUUUUAUUAACCAUCAUGAGACUCUGGCCUCCGGCCUCAUCACUUAACUCUAGUGCCUCAGUUUCCUCACCUGAAAAGCAGGGAUAAUAAUCCCAGUACCUAUCUUAUAGGGUUCCUAAGAAUAAUCCAUGAGCUACCACACAUGGAGAGUGUAGAGAGCAGGGCCUGGUCCACAGAAAGCACUGCACAUGUUUUUCUUAUUGUCUUUUAAUCCAGCUGGAGUUGUUUUAGAAUGUAGAUUAGGGAGGAUCUUGCCUGACUUUUCCUUUUGGUGAACCAGCCCUUCCUCUCCCUUCCCCAUUAUUAAUCCCUCUAUUUCAUCACACUGACACCUGUACCUGUUUGGACACUAAUAUCAAAACUGUUCCAAUCACUGUGACUUUGCAGCGUGACUAUCUGGCAGGGCAAGUCCCUUUUUCAAUCUUCCCUUUUGGUUACCUCUAAGCAAUUUGGGAACCUUCAUUUUUCCAUAUAAAUUUUAGAGUAUUAAGUUACUUCUAAAAAUCCAACUGAAAUUUGGAUUGAGACUGCGUUAAACACUAACUUCAGGAUGGCAGAUGUCUCUGCAGCACUAAGCUAUGCCAUGGUCUCCACUUGUCCAGAUUUCUCUAUAGAGACUUGGGUUAAGAUCAUUCCUGAAUAAUUUAUAUUUUGAUGUAUUUUGGAAUAAUACCUUGCUUUUUAUGUUCUGGUUGCUUACUACUGAUGAAGAAAAAGACUACUGAUUUUUUAAACUGAUUUCUUACUCAAUAGCUUUACUGAAUUCUUAUUAGUUACAAGUUUGCUACUGACUUGGUUGUAGGUAAUCAUU
rnacentral:lncRNA from 10 species